rnacentral:rRNA from 1 species
UACGGGGGGGGCAAGCGUUGUUCGGAAUUACUGGGCGUAAAGGGCGCGUAGGCGGCUUGGCAAGUGGAAGGUGAAAUCCCUCGGCUUAACCGAGGAACUGCCUUCCAGACUGUUAGGCUUGAGACCGGGAGAGGUGAGUGGAAUUCCCAGUGUAGCGGUGAAAUGCGUAGAUAUUGGGAGGAACACCAGUGGCGAAGGCGGCUCACUGGACCGGUACUGACGCUGAGGCGCGAAAGCGUGGGGAGCAAACGGG